rnacentral:rRNA from 1 species
UACGGAGGGUGCAAGCGUUAUCCGGAUUCACUGGGUUUAAAGGGUGCGUAGGUGGGCAGGUAAGUCAGUGGUGAAAUCUUUGGGCUUAACCCGAAAACUGCCGUUGAUACUAUCUGUCUUGAAUAUAGUGGAGGUGAGCGGAAUAUGUCAUGUAGCGGUGAAAUGCUUAGAUAUGACAUAGAACACCCAUUGCGAAGGCAGCUCGCUACACUAUUAUUGACACUGAGGCACGAAAAGCGUGGGGGAUCAAACAGG